rnacentral:lncRNA from 10 species
UACUGAUCUAUUUCUGUGCCAAUACCACCUACUGUAACUUUAAAAUAGGUUUUUGUUUAUACCAAGUAAGAAUAAGUUACCAUUAUUUUUCCAUUAAUUUUUUUUUUUUUUUUUGAGACAAGGUCUCACUCUGUCACUCUGUUGCCCAGGCUGGAGUGCAGUGGCAUGAUCUCAGCUCACUGUAACCUCUGCCUCCCUGCUUCAAGCUAUUCUCCCACCUCAUCCUCCCGAGUAACUGGGACUACAGAUGCGUGCCACCACACCUGACUAAUCUUUAUAUUUUUAGUAGAGAGGGGGGUUUCACCGUGUUGGCCAGGCUAGUCUCGAGCUCGUGACCUCACGUGAUCCUCCCGUCUCCGCCUCCCAAAGUGCUGGAAUUACUGGCAUGAGCCACCGAGGCUGGCCUGAGUAUUCUAGUUUAUAACUUACAAGGUCAUUCAUAUGUAUAUGUUGUUGUGCUUGUCUAGCUAUUUUAUAUUUUGUUAUUCUGAACUCUUGGCCUCUAUCUCAGCUCCAGCCCCUGAAAGUGCAGGAGUGCUUUUGCUCUGCCAGUCGGCCUUUUUUGGGAAAUCAUAUCAAGAUGGCUUUUCCAGCACAAUUACUUCCUAGAGUGUCUGCUUGAUGCAUGGAAACUCAUAGAUUUUUGGCAUGCCAAACAGAGGGUUUUCCUGCCGUCACUGCUGGCUCCAGCCACAGACUUCAGUUUUCUUACCUGUUAGAGCCUUUGUCCUCUGACUGGUGGAAAUGGAGCUUGCUUCUUUUUGUUUUGCCUGCCACUAGUCUGGCAGCCUCCACCUCUUGACCCUUGGGUUUCUUAUCCUUGGAAUCAGAUACGAGGCCCUGUGUCUUCUGUUGCUGUAGAGGACACAAGUCAUAUUCUCUGAGUGGAGAUCUCUCUGAAGCUCCUCUUUCCAGGCUUGUACUGAGGGACCUCUGGACCCUCUACCACGUGGUGUCAAAGCUGCCAAGAGCUGUCAUAUGCUGGGUCUGUAAAUUGACUUUCUCACCUCUGACCAGAUGCAUUCACUUGAGCGGCACAGAGAUUUGGGGGAGUGAAAGGGCACUGUUUCUUUGGGUCCGUGGGCUUGUGUCCCAUCCCCUAGCCUUGGGGUUAGCAGGAUUCAGAAUUUAUGAGUGUGGUCUGCAAAAGUCUACCUCUACCAGAUGGGGGAGAACCUAGUGUGUGGACCUGAAGGGUUAGCUCUGUGCUUUAGUCCCUGGGAGUGGCCAUCUUGAGUCUUGGUGGGCUUGGCAAGUAAGGAGACAUUGACCAGAUUCAAAGCUUCCAGAGGUGGUGAGAACUCCAGGGCCGAGUAAUGGAGAGUACAAAGGUCCUUCUUGGCCCCCAUGACCCUUCCAAGCCAAGAACUUGGCAGUAGCUGUGAGAAGCAGAGAUAGGGAGAGGAGGUGAGGGGCACCUAUAGCUCUUAGCCAUGAGUUAUGACUCCCUCCAUCCAAGGGAGACCCAAGGACAUGAAAGGGGACUCAGUUCCAAGGAUCAGAGGGAACUUGGGUUGUUUUGGGAUAAUGACUGUGGCUUGGGAUGUCACGGAGAUGAACACCAGAAUUGGUGUGCAACAGAUGAGCUCCAGUACCCCUGAUAGUUUGCAUGGGUUUUGCUCUGCUGAUGAUGGUCAGGGACAGCAGUGAGGCCCUCUACAAUGCCGCCUUCUGCCUAAACACAGGCAGUGCCCACAAAAGGGGAGCUGUCAUUAUGGAGCCUAGGAAUGGAUAGUCAGAGAGCAGCGGCUGGGCAGUGCAACUCCUGCAUUGGACAAGGUCCUGGCUAGAGAAUGUCAAUGUCCACACUGCAUGUAGCCCUAUCGAGGAGAUGAUGUAGGGGGCUGUCAGCCUUGGAGACUCUAGCCUAAGUACCCCACCACCACUCUGGCUGGCUUCCAAGGGCACAAAUCAGCUUUCUGAAUCUGACUUGGCUUCCUGUGAUCUGCAUUCAUGAACAUUCUUACUAGAGUUCUCAUGGAAAAUGAAUACACAACUAUUUGGUCUGAAUGUGUCUGAGUUUGGUGUCUCCAAAACAAUUCUCUGGAUUAGAUGGAGAAUGAAGAAACUUCACAAAGGCAAAAGGACAGGUCCCCAUCUCGACCCCCAGAGACCACUUCUCAGAGUCUCUAUCUGUUCGUCUCUGGUGUUAGCCACGUUCCUUUACUUUCCCUCAUUUCUGUGGCCACUCCUGUGGCUUCCUCUCUUUCAACCUGCAGGCUGCUGCUGCCCUGCCUCAGACCCUUGUAGGCUUCUGUAGAGAUGCUACUCAGAUGGGGGUGGAGCUAGAUGCAGAGCUGAAACCCACCUAGGAGAUCUAGCUUGGAGAGCUUGUGAAUCUUAGGAGAGCUAGGCAUAGAAUGACUAAAGUUUGUCACCGCAUGAGAUAAAAUAAAUGAAAAGCCACUUCUGGAGGGAAUGAGGCAGUCUGCCUUUAUUGGAGAGAUACAUAUUGUUGAACAGCUCUGGGCAGUUGAUUGUGUGCCUGGGAGAGCUAACCAUGUUUACUCUACACUUGACCUGUGAUGGUCUGUAUUGAUUGUAUCACACGCUUAGCUUUCUAAGGCUAACCAGGUCAUCGUCCUCAGUCCCUGCCUGCAACUAGGUUGCCAACUGGCCCUUGAUUUCCCACCCAACUUGUUCAGUUUGCCCUCAAUCCUGGGGCCUCACUAAUUUCCCAAAAAGAUAUGGUUGGUACCACCUGUAGUUUGCUGUUGCAUGUUAACCUGACUUUUGGGAAACUCAAAUAAACACUUUUCAAACGCAUUGACCAUUUUUACUCUAUGACUUCUGCUUUGCAUGAUCGCUAGCUUGGUCACCCAUCAUGCUGCUUUCUGGUGAGCUGAAAGGAAAAUAAAUGGUCUAAAUUGAGCAACAAGAAAGUAAACUUUUAAGCAGGUACUUUCCAAGUGAAAUG